CUCAGGGCAGAAGUAAACAGAGUUGGAGCCCUACAUAGUUCACGCCCUCACUUUCAGAUUUGAAGACGUGAAGGACCCGGGAUCCAGAGAUGGAUGGUGAUUAAAGAACACAAGAUGUUAGCAUUCACAGAGGAAUCUCCGUGCACACACAUCAUAAUUCUCUGUUCAUAUGUAUUGAUUGCCCUUCUGUUGCCUGGAUGAUUCUCUUUCUUUGUCAGGUAAUCCCCACUUCAUGUCUCAUGUAUGUCACUGCCAAAUCCUACUCCCCUCCAACCACCCUUCCCUCAUAAUUACCUCCCAAUCUGCAUGUGCGGCCUUCCUGACACAUCCCCUUCCUUGUAUGAGGAAAGCAGGUGACGCAUUUGAAUUCCUGAGUUGAGCUCUCAGAAGUUGAGAUUGCAGCCUUGAAGAAAGCCAUGGCCUACAGUGUUGAUCGUGACGGACAGGUCUUGAACUGCACACCAACCCACAUGUCUAAACUCACCACAUAUAACCAACCCAGCAAACGAUGCUUAAGAAGCUGUGCUUAAUAAGAAAACGCUGACACAGUGUGUGCAUGUGUACGUGUUUGUGCCUACGUCUAACAAUGCACAAGAAUUAUUGUACUUUAUGGGAGUUGGGAAAAUGUAUCAGUGAAUGUAGUGGUAUAGUUCAGGCAUAUAGCCCAUGCUCAAGUCUGGGGUUCCACCCCCAGCACUAUGCAUGUAAAAAGAAAAUGAGAAGGGGAAGAAAGAAAAGAAGGGAGGGAGGAAAAAAGCCAAUAAGACAAGCAGAAAACAUACAUGUCACAGAAAGACUUUCUUGCUAGUAAAUCAGGUAAAUUGACAGGAUUUUUUUUAAGUUAUAAGCCUAUUUAGCCCAAUUUUAAAAUAGCAUACAAUAACCCAGUCAAUAAUGUUGUUGAAUACUUAUUUUUAGAGCUACUCCCGUGAGUUGAUUACAUUAUUUAAUGUACUGCUAUAAGUUUUAUAAUAGAAACUAGAGUUAGAAAAUUCAACUAUUUUUUUCUUAAAAGUUACACCGCUGUAUUCAGAAGCAGACCCAGAACCUAGUUUUUGGCUUUAGUUUGUAUCUAUGAUCAUGAACUUUUAAUUCUCCUGACUCUACCUCCCUGUGGCACCACAACCAGGCUUAGCAGGAGCUGGGAAUCCCACCCGGGGUUUCACACAUGCUAGGCAAAGCCCAACCAACGGACCUACAUCCCUAAACUCUAAAGUACAAAUAUGAACGAAAGGAAAAAUAGAAAAUAUUCAUUUCAGGAACUUCAAACGCUAAUGGUUGUUGAUAAGUUAAACCAGAUUUUAAUGGUCCUAGUAUCUCUGUGGGAUCAACAAAAAUCUGGCCAAAAAUAGAGGAGCAGUAUUCUAGUUUUAAUAAUUUGUUCAGUGAAAUAUCACUCUUACCAGACUUGCCAUUUUCACUUUUGCAAAAUGGUGUUUAGACACUGAUACUAUGUUUCUUUAGAAAACAAUCAUAAUAACCCAGACUUCAAGAUUCUAGCCUUAGUUCUUGAUUUUGAACACAGGCAUUAUAAAAAUGCAGACCAGGGCAGGAAGAACAAAAGAUCAAAGUUUAACCUCUCUGCACUGCACAGUUUACCAAAGUGGAAUUUGCCCAGGGCUCUCUCUCCCCUUGUUCUCCCCGGAGCUGCUGAAGCCCGAUUUAUCCUAAGGCACUGACUAUCUGGAAAGGUAUUAGUGGGUUUUGGAAGUCUAGACUGGGCUGGAUGUCCAACCAAGGGUGAAGGGGCAGGAACUCAGGAUUUUAUUUAAACUCCUUAGAUAAAAUCUAACCUUACAAUAAUAACAAUAAUAAAAGUCGAAGCCCUUUGACUAUAUCAACACUUCUCAACCAAGACCUUUUGAGGUGAAUAAUAUUUUUAUUAUUACCUACCUCAAGCUGGAAAGGCAGCAUCUGUUUCACUAGAUGUCAGAAGUGCCCCUCAUGUGGUGACCACCCACGUGUUUUCCACAGAUUGCCAUUGGUCUACUGGGAGGAAAAAUGAUCCUGGAUAGACACUAACUUAUCUUCGCAAAACCAUAUGUGUAUGUCUUUGCUGUAGUUUGAGCUACUUUGAUUGUUGAAAAAAGACAAAGGGGGUUUUAAGGUGCAUGCACUUCAGUCAGUUAUGGAGAGGCUGCACUGAAUGCCUGUCAGGUGAGGUCAACUCUCCCAGGUCUGAUGCAAAUCAGGGAUGUCCCCAAGUAGUACUGCUUUCGUCUGGCUUCAUGAAACUGACUGCGGUCACACUGCACUUAACUCCUGUGUAACAGAGUCGGUGUCUCAUGAGCAUGGGCCAGGCUCCCAUGUGGAUUCUCCUAUAGCCUGAAUCCCUACAAUGUGCAGGUCUGGCACAAACCACACGGUAGGGUUGUUGCUGCUGUUGUUGUUGUUUUUGUGUCUGCUAAGGGGCCAAGUAGAAAAGAGAAAAGAAAUAAGGACGAGAAAGAGGAGGAGGAAGAGGAAGGAACAAGGAAGAAGGCAGAGGGGAAGGAGGAGGAGAAGCAGAAGGAAGUGGAAGAAGAGGAGGAAGAGGAGGAGGAUGAGGAGAAACCUGUGGGGUCAUUCCAUGCGAUUCCUGUCAGGAGGCAGCCUGUGAGACCACCUGCUUAUCUCUCCUCCAUUUUUAUCAGAGUAAGGCCACCUCAGUAGCACCCUUAUUCCUCACUUUCUUUCAGCUCUUGCUGUCUGUGAUGGUUUGAUCUGUAAUCUUCCCAACAGGCCCAUGAUUUGCACACUUACUGGAAGCUGUUUGGGGCAGCAAUGGGGCCCUUGGAGAUGAGGACUAGGCCUGGCAGCAUAGGUCAACAGGAGCAGGCGUUUGGAGGUUACUCCUGACCCUGGUCUCAGCCGAAUUCUGUUUUCUUGCCCCUGUAAGGUGAACUUACUAUCUGCUCUGCCGCACUCGCAUUCGUGAUGGACUAAACUUUAAACUAUAAGCCAAACAAACCCUUCCACUUGUGAGUUGCUUCUGUAAGGUCUCCCAGCAGCAGAAAGGGAAAGAAAGUCUUCUAGGCCUGAUACAAUCCCAUCGUGUCUUUAAUAGCGUGAAGUUCAUUGUUUCAGAGACCACAAGCUAAGUUAAAUUAGAGAAAGGGGAAAGAGACAAGAGAAAAGGUGGAGACCACAUAGAAGAGGGGAAGCCAUCAAAGCCAAGCA